UACGGAGGGGGCUAGCGUUGCUCGGAAUUACUGGGCGUAAAGGGCGCGUAGGCGGAUGUUUAAGUCGGGGGUGAAAGCCCGGGGCUCAACCCCGGAAUUGCCUUCGAUACUGGACAUCUUGAGUACGGGAGAGGUGAGUGGAACUCCGAGUGUAGAGGUGAAAUUCGUAGAUAUUCGGAAGAACACCAGUGGCGAAAGGCGACUCACUGGCCCGUUACUGACGCUGAGGCGCGAAAGCGUGGGGAGCAAACAGG
rnacentral:rRNA from 1 species